GACGAACGCUGGCGGCGCGCUUAACACAUGCAAGUCGAACGGAAAGGCCUGCUUUCCCUUGUGGAUUGCGGGUACUCGAGUGGCGAACGGGUGAGUAACACGUGAGUGAUCUGCCCCCAACUUGGGUAUAAGCCUGGGAAACUGGGUCUAAUUCCCGAUAGGACUGCAGGGUGGUGCCUGUGGUGGAAAACGAUUUUCUAGUGGUUGGGGAUGAGCUCGCGGCCUAUCAGCUUGUUGGUGGGGUAAUGUCCUACCAAGGCGGCGACGGGUAGCCGGCCUGAGAGGGUGGACGGGCACAGUGGGGAUGAGAUACGGCCCAGACUCCUACGGGAGGCAGCAGUGGGGAAUAUUGCACAAUGGGCGGAAGCCUGAUGCAGCGACGCCGCGUGGGGGAUGACGGCCUUCGGGUUGUAAACUCCUUUCGACCGAGAGGAAGCCACCUGGUUGGAAGGGUGGUGACGGUAGUGGUAGAAGAAGCACCGGCUAACUACGUG
rnacentral:rRNA from 1 species